rnacentral:rRNA from 1 species
CAGCCGCCGCGGUAAUACGUAGGGUGCGAGCGUUAAUCGGAAUUACUGGGCGUAAAGCGUGCGCAGGCGGUUGUGUAAGACAGGUGUGAAAUCCCCGGGCUUAACCUGGGAACUGCGCUUGUGACUGCACAGCUAGAGUAUGGCAGAGGGGGGUGGAAUUCCACGUGUAGCAGUGAAAUGCGUAGAGAUGUGGAGGAACACCGAUGGCGAAGGCAGCCCCCUGGGCCAAUACUGACGCUCAUGCACGAAAGCGUGGGGAGCAAACAGGAUUAGAUACCCCCGUAGUCCCUGUCUCUUAUAA